UACAGAGGGUGCAAGCGUUGUUCGGAAUUAUUGGGCGUAAAGCGCGUGUAGGCGGUUUGGCAAGUCGGGUGUGAAAGCCCUCAGCUCAACUGAGGAAGUGCGCCCGAAACUGCUGAGCUCGAGUGCCGGAGAGGGUGGCGGAAUUCCCCAAGUAGAGGUGAAAUUCGUAGAUAUGGGGAGGAACACCGGUGGCGAAGGCGGCCACCUGGACGGUCACUGACGCUGAGACGCGAAAGCGUGGGUAGCAAACAGG
rnacentral:rRNA from 1 species